UACAUUUUUAGGUUAAGAUAUAUAAGCAUAACAAAAAGAGUUCAUGUUUAUAUGUGUUUUCAAAGAUCUCUAUAUGUUCGUUAACAAUGAAUCUCUCUAUUUUCUAGUUUAUUUGUGAUUUUUGUGAUUUUAUGGUGUUUAAUUUGUUAAAGUCCAAAACUCUUUAUAUAGAAGAUUAAAAAUUGCAAUGGUUAGUUAAUACCAAAAGUUGCAAUGAUUGAUCACCAAGAAUUACAAUCACCAACAGUUGCAGUGGUUCAUCACGAAAAAUUGCAAUGGUUCAUUACUAAAAAUUAUAUGAUCAACAGUUGCAAUCUUUUAUUUAAUCAGUUGUAACUGUUCCACCAAAUAAUUGCAAUGAUUCACUUAACUAAUAUAAUUAUUAAAAAAAUCAUCCUCAUAUAUUUUAGACAUUUAAAAAACUUUAACUAAUAUAAUUAUUAAAAUAAAAAGACAUGAUGUUAAGAUGAAAAGAUACAUACUUAUAUAUUUUGCUAACUUCUUUUACAUCAAAGCAACUUUUAAGAUGGAAAAAAAAACACAUUUAAAUAUGAAAACAGACAACUUUUAACAUUUUUUUUUUAAUUCAAGAAUGUUUAGUUACUAUAAAAUAGUAUAUUUACAAUAUAUUAUGAAUAGACAAAACAUUACAAAAGACACUCUAUUGCAUAUGAAAAGACACAUAAUUAUAAAAGAGACACUUAUUGAGAUAUUUUAACAACUAAUUGAAAAUUAAUUUGUCUUUUAUAAUGAGAUGACACAAUUCUUAACACUGAGAAUUGUAUAAAGACACUUGUUGAUUAAACCAAACCGGUUAACUAUGGUGGAGAAGGAGAUCGUUAUCUGAGAGCAGUUAUUGGCGAUCAUGAUGGCGAUUGACACAAGGCCACUUUUUCUGCAAUUCUCAAGAGAGAUUUGACUUUACAUAUCUCUUUCUGGUUAUUUUUUUCUUCUUUUCAUGAUUCUCAACACCUAAACAAUUAUUUUUCUCUUUUAAAGAUCAAAAGAAACGUGAGUUUCCGUUAUGGUAUUUCACGAUUUUGUUCUUUGUGUUUUGCUCUUCUCUUUGUUAGUGGAGAAGUUCAUAUUUAUUCACAGCGAAUGGGAUGAUAAUCACUUCUUCCGAUUUGUUGUUACAAUCUCCGACAUGGUUUUUAUGGUCAUGGUCGAUGACAACACAAGACAAAUAUUUGUGUUGAAACCAGAUUCAAGCGGUAAGGAACUCAUCCUAAUCGCUUUACUCUGGAAACAAUCGCCCUGGAAGCCACCAUGGAAAAAGUAUAUCAAAGAUGGAGAGGUACAAAAUGAUGAACAUUCUCAUAAUCAUAAUUGAGAAUUGUUUAUGGUGAUGCAACCACAAAGAAUCGUUGAAGAUUGGCAGAUUUUCUUACUAUUUCUUUUCAGAGAAUCAGUAAAGAGGAUUUUCUCUGGCAGAAUACUUAUAGAUUCUAUUUGGAAUCUGGCCAAUGUUAUACAUCAAAGAAAUCUUCAAAGAAGAAUUUGGAAUUUCAUCAAAAAGAUGGUAGCCAAAUACAAAUGGUGUUACAUGAAGAGAAACAAGAUGGUUCAGAAGAAAAUUUCUUCAGUUCUUACUCUUUGUGUUGUAAUGUUUUCUAGGUUUAGUUUUGCAUUUAGUUGUAAUUCUAUUAUUUUAUAUAUUCUUGUUGUAAUUUUACAUUUUAUUUAAAUAAAAUAGUUGUUAAAAACAAAAUACACUUGUUGAUUGAGAUUUACCUACUUUGAAAAACUUUU